GACAUUUCUGCUGAGCCUGGAAGGACAGAGAGGCGCCCUGAAUUCCAUGCCGGGUCAUUACAGAGCCGGUGGCGGAGACUCUAGGAGACCCAGCCCCACUGGCUGCAGCCCCUUCGGAUGCAUCUGCGAGAGCAGCCUGGCCGUCACCCACCGGUCUGGCCCGUGCUGUCAGCCGGCCAGAGCGUGUCUGAAUCGAGGAAAGCUGA
rnacentral:lncRNA from 1 species